ensembl:lncRNA
CGUUAUUUUGUUUUUUGUGUUCAGUUUAAAUAAAUAUUAACAUGGACACGUACCACGCUGCAUAUUGGUCUGAUCCUUCCUACUCCUCCUCAGAAGAGGAGGAAAAUCGGUACAGAUAAACAGACCUUUAAACUCCUCCAGAGGUUGUCUAGGGGGUAACACUGGUCUCCCUCUACCUCUAUGUCUUUAAACUCCUUCAGAGUUUGUCCAGGGGUAACCCUGGUCUCUACCUCUAUCUCUUUAAACUCCUCCAGAGUUUGUCCAGGGGUAACCCUGGUCUCUACCUCUAUCUCUUUAAACUCCUUCAGAGGUUGUCUAGGGGUAACACUGGUCUCCCUCCACCUCUAUCUCUUUAAACUCCUUCAGAGGUUGUCUAGGGGUAACACUGGUCUCCUCUAUCUCUUUAAACUCCUUCAGAGGUUGUCUAGGGGGUAACACUGGUCUCCCUCCACCUCUAUCUCUUUAAACUCCUCCAGAGGUUGU